AACGAACGCUGGCGGCAGGCUUAACACAUGCAAGUCGAACGCCCCGCAAGGGGAGUGGCAGACGGGUGAGUAACGCGUGGGAACAUACCCUUUUCUACGGAAUAGCUCUGGGAAACUGGAAUCAAUACCGUAUACGCCCUACGGGGGAAAGAUUUAUCGGGGAAGGAUUGGCCCGCGUUGGAUUAGCUAGUUGGUGGGGUAAAGGCCUACCAAGGCGACGAUCCAUAGCUGGUCUGAGAGGAUGAUCAGCCACAUUGGGACUGAGACACGGCCCAAACUCCUACGGGAGGCAGCAGUGGGGAAUAUUGGACAAUGGGCGCAAGCCUGAUCCAGCCAUGCCGCGUGAGUGAUGAAGGCCUUAGGGUUGUAAAGCUCUUUCACCGAUGAAGAUAAUGACGGUAGUCGGAGAAGAAGCCCCGGCUAACUUCGUGCCAGCAGCCGCAGUAAUAC
rnacentral:rRNA from 1 species